rnacentral:rRNA from 1 species
GCUUGUCUCAAAGAUUAAGCCAUGCAUGUCUAAGUAUAAGCCUUUACACGGUGAGACUGCGAAUGGCUCAUUAAAUCAGAAACUGUUUAUUUGAUAGUGCCUACUACUUGGAUAACCGUAGUAAUUCUAGAGCUAAUACAUGCGUAAAGUCCCGACUCUUUCUGGGGAGGGAUGUAUUUAUUAGAUAAAAAACCAAUGCGGGUUCUGCCCGGUUUUGUGUUGAAUCAUAGUAACUUUUCGAAUCGCAUGGCUUCACGCCGGCGAUAGUUCAUUCAAAUUUCUGCCCUAUCAGCUUUCGACGGUAGUGUAGUGGACUACCGUGGCGUUAACGGGUAACGGAGAAUUAGGGUUCGAUUCCGGAGAGGGAGCCUGAGAAACGGCUACCACAUCUAAGGAAGGCAGCAGG